GCAGCGGCAAAUUCCGCUGUCGGGUUUCACAGCCUGUUACUUAUCUUGGUGCCUAAACACGCACCCGAAGCGUGUUUUUU
rnacentral:sRNA from 1 species